GUUCCCCGUCUUUGCCGUACAAUUCUUGCUGUCUAUGAAGAUGACCUUCAUGACCCCAAAUUUCCACCUGAAGGAGGCUAUAGGCUAAACCCCGAUUGGGCUGUGAAGAAAGUUGCAUAUCAAGAAACACUUGGUAAGUAAAUAUUUUACAUUGCAGAGAUAGAGAUAGUUUCUUAUGAUAGUGUCUAGCACGACGUAAGCUACACAUGCAUGUAGGGUAGGAGCUAGGUUACGACAAGGGAUUCAAUUGAAUCUCCUUCAUUGGAAAAUGAUACUGUGCAAAUAGGGAAAAAUGUGAAGAAGGUUGCAUAUCAAGAAACACUUGGUAAAUUUUCGCAUUGUUGAAAUAGUUUUUUAGGAUAAUGCCUAGCACGACUUAAGCUCCUGGCAGCUAGCCUUUAGCUUACGGGUUCGGCUGAACUUUUGGUCCAAAUCUUGUUUAUGUCUUAAGAAAUUCAUUGAAUAUGUAUAAAUUAUUAGUUUAGAAUCAGUAACUUAAAAGGACUACAAUCUAGAAUCUGUAAGCUUCAAAUGAUGGCUCCGCCUUUGGCUCCAUGUGCAUUCAGGGUAGGAUCUAGGUUAUAACAGGGGGUUCAAUUGAAUCCCCUUUGUCGGAAAAUGGUACUGUGCAAAUAGGACAAAAACGUAAUUUUGCAGAGUGCCAAACGGAUCUCUUACAGCAUUGCCUAGCGCGACUCAAAUGUAAUUGAAACAGCCUCUUGCAGAAAUGCAGGAUAAGGCUGCGUACAAUAGACCCUUGUGGUUCGGCCAUUUUCCGAACCUUGCGCAUAGCGGGAGCUUAGUGCACCGGACUGCCCUUUUUUGCCUAGUACGACUCAAGCUCCACGUGCAUGCAGGGGAGGAGCUAGGUUAUGAUAAGGGGUUCAAUUGUCUCCUCACUCUCCUUCGCCGGAAAUGAUAAUGUGCAAAUAGGGCAAAAACUUGAAGGAAAAUUUUGUAUAGUGUCAAAGGGGGUUGAAAAACUAGUUUAGGUAGCAGGUUCAAAUCAUGUGGUGUGUGAUAUUCUAGUAUUUUUUGAAUCCCCUUAUGUGCAUUUCGGGCUCCGCCAUUGCGUGCACAUGCUCAUAAACAAUUUUAUUGUUUUCUUUUUCCUUUGUUUCCAAAAAUAUUUUCAUUUUAAUAAAAAAAAAAUUCUCUUUUAUUUUUUCCAACAGGUAAUGCUCCACCUUAUUUGAUUUACCUUGAUCAUGAACACCAUGAAAUUGUUGUAGCCAUAAGGGGUUUAAAUUUGGUGAAAGAAAGUGAUUAUAAAGUUUUGAUGGAUAAUAAGCUCGGCAAGCAGAUGUUUGAUGGUGGGUAUGUGCAUCAUGGUUUGUUGAAGGCAGCAAUUUGGAUGUUGAAUAAAGAGUCUGAGACUUUGAAAAGGCUUUGGGUUGAGAAUGGGAAGAGUUACAAGUUGAUAUUUGCUGGUCAUUCUUUGGGUUCUGGAGUUGCAUCAUUGUUGACUAUAAUUGUGGCGAAUCAUGGGGAUAGGUUAGGGGGUAUUCCGAGGAGUUUAAUAAGCUGCUAUGCUGUUGCUCCUGCUCGGUGUAUGUCACUCAACUUAGCUGUUAAGUAUGCUGAUGUUAUACACUCGGUAGUUUUGCAGGUGAGUUGGUUUAGUCGUCAUUGAUUGGGCUACUCUAAUUUGCCACUAUCAUACUUUAGCAACAUAUUCUGAAACUACUUGAUUAAUAUUUUUUACAUUAGUAGCUGACUGGCUUGUGAUUGAAAAAGUUGGAUAUGGUGUUUAGUGUGAUUUAGACUAAAAUGAUUGUUUAGCCUGUUGAUUUAGCUAAUAAUUUUGGGCAGGAGAACGUAGGACGCUAGAAGAAAAGAACUAGAUCUGAGGCUGGUUACAUAAUAUGUCCUUAAAUAUAGGAACAGGUUGAAAUUUUUUGAAUGUCUGUUUCCUUUUAGUAAUUUUUCGCAUUGAACUUGUGAUGAGUGAAUGGUGAAAAUGCCUUGGGAAUGUUUUGAUUAUCAUUUUAUAGUGCAUAAUUAUGUGGUCUCUUGUUUAUAGUUGCUGUCUCUGCAUCAAGAUCCAUUGGCAUGUAUAUAUAGUACUUGAAAAACACAUGAUCAAGAAUUGCGAUGCUCGCAUAUAUAAAAACCAAUCUAGGAAAGAGCUUCUCAAUUAUCGCUGAUACCUUGUUUUUACAUGAUUUUUUAGGAGACAGUUGCAUUAGCCUAUGGCAGUUUUAGUUCUUCUAUACUACAACCAAAUUAAUGCAGAUUAAAGGUUGCACCAUAAGUUUAUAACGGAUAUAUUACAGGUACCAUGAUUCGGAACAUAGUCCGAACUGCCCAGUCAGACUAUUUGAGACUUCCAAGUGGUCAGUUUUUUGUUGAAUUGGCUUAUUCCUCUUGUCCCGAAAAGUAGCUCAUGUGAAUUCACCCUGUGUAAAUCUUAUCUUGUUCUGAUCAAUUGCUUAUACCAGUGGUAGUUUUUUCCUCUUACAACUCAUAUCCUUAAUGUAAUACAGCAUAAGAUUUGGAUCUAAAAUGUCUAAUUGUCGAUGGUGAGGGGGGAAUUAGAAGCCACUAGAGUGGGAGAAAGGGAAUUUGUAAAAUACAUCCUAAGAGAAAAUGAUUAAACAAAAUGGUAUGUAUAGCAAGUGAAAUGCUUGGCCUAUCCACUGAUAAGAAUUGGAACAGCGUCGGCUCUUUACAUUGGUAGAUCUAACCACUAUUGAUAUCAUGCUCACUCUUUUCUGUCAGCUACUGGAUAUUUGAGAUUUAAAUAAUGGGCCAGUCAAAACUUUUGGGAUGUUGCCGUAACAUUUACCGACAACAAUGGUUUUGCUGUUUUUAUUUAGAAAUUUAUAGCUCUAACUUGAGGAUUUCUUUUCCUUCUAUGAUCGCUAAACUAAAAUUGUAUAGUUGCACCCUGAAAGCCAUGAAUACAAUAAACUAGGUGUUGACUUAUUCCUUAUGAUAAUGUGAACUUCACGAAACAAUCAUGUUCUCUGAAUUAACAUAUCUAUACUGGCUUCUUCUUCCUCAGGAUGAUUUCUUACCCCGAACGCCCACCCCACUGGAAGAUAUAUUCAAAUCCGUCUUCUGGUUAGUUCAAUUUUCCUACAUUCUCUUGAUGCAGAACAAAAGCCCUUGAGUUUUCGAUAUUCCCUUGGAUUCUUUUUCUUUGGAGAAAUUGUUAUAAGUAUCUUCUUAAACCGAGCGUUAAUGCUUUCAACAGUUUACCCUGCUUGUUAUUUAUGGUAUGCUUGAGAGAUACCUUCAUACCUGAAGGUAGGAAGCUGAGAGAUCCGAGAAGAUUAUAUGCGCCUGGCCGAAUGUAUCACAUCGUUGAGAGAAAAUUUUGCAGGUAAAUCACAUUCAAAUAGUAAUACUACUAUUACACUGUACUGUCAGAGUUUUGCAAGUUCGUGAUGAUGUUGUAACAUGCCUUUACGCUAAGUCUCUCAGAAAACACAUUGUUCCUUGUACACUCUCUGAAAGAAGAUUUUACUCGCUUUCUUAAUCACAUUUAUUGCUUGACAGAUGUGGGAGAUUCCCUCCAGAUGUUAGAACAGCCAUCCCAGUUGAUGGAAGAUUUGAACAUAUUGUGCUGUCAUGCAAUGCAACAUCUGAUCAUGGAAUUAUUUGGAUACAAAGAGAAUCAGAAAAGGCAUUAGCAGUAAGUACUUUCAGAAUAUUUUGUCAUUUUAAAAAAAGAGCUGUAGUCCUUCAUUGAUGAUAUCAUUUGGAACAAACAUAUGUCUCAAAUGUACCUUGAUCACCUGAAGAUUUUCAAAGAGACAAGUCUAAUGUUAGGCCUUUCUUCAUGGAUAAGAAAACGAAGGGAGUUAUGCUUUUCUUCCCUUCAGAUUUCGAUUUUCAUGGCCAAUGAAAAACUGCCUGUUUUUCUCUAAAUUCACAUAGUUCAACUUUGUGCCAGCUGUCUGGUAUUCGGUGCAUUGCUUUAUCUUCAUUCUCUUGGUAUUAGUUCCAGAAUUUCAUUCUUUGACGUUUUCUUGCGUUUCAAGUUUGAAGUCUAGAAAAGCAUUCUACUCCAAUCCAGGCCAUAGCGGAACUAGAUUAUCUAUCAGCUUAGUUUCCAUGAAAAUGUUUCAUUUCCGAAGAUCAUACUGAGACAUGACCCUUAAUAGGAGGGUAUGGAGGUUGAGAAUUAGGGUAGAAGUUUAGUGAUUAAACAUGCGUGUCUCAUUUUCAUGCCGGUAGCAUUAGUAUUUGUCUCGUAUUUUCGUUUCUCCUUAUCCGCAUAUUUCUUUUACUACAUGUUUCUUUCGUUUCGAUUAAUCUAUCACCUUUGCUUGUUAUUGUUACUACUGGUUGUUUCUGCUUCUUUUUCAUUUUUUCCUGAGCCGGGGGUGUAUCGUAAACAGCCUCUCUACCUUCGUAAGGUAGGGGUAAGGUCUGCGUACGCUCCUCCCUCCCCAGACCCCACUUUGUGAGAUUACACUGGGUUUGUUGUUAUUGUUGUUGUAGUUGAAGUAGCAGAGUAGUGUGUUAUACCCUGCUAUGUUCUCAUUUACUUGAAUAUGUUUGUUUAAGGAAAUAUUUUUCCUGAGUAAGCGCUUCCCUGCAGAGACUCAAGGAGGUUAGCGCUGAGACCACGACUACCCCACCACCAGUGCAGAAAAUUGAAAGGCAGCACACACUAGAAAAAGAACACAAGAAGGCACUAAAAAGAGCUGUCACUUUAAAUAUUCCACACGCCGUGCCAACAGAUGCAGAGGAGGAAGCCUCAGUGCAUGUGCAGAAAGAGGA
rnacentral:lncRNA from 1 species